ensembl:lncRNA
ACCUGUCAGGCAACACACACUGUCACCGCCCUGCCCCGCAGGCACAAACCGCUGACAAUUACAGGAUGCUGUGGAGGCCAUGCCUCAAGAGGGAGGGGCGAAUAGUUCUUCAAGCACUCUCUGGUAUUUGACCCGCAGUCUCAGGUUUAUGAUCUAAGUGCCGUUGCGUCGGGCAUGGCGCUCUUCUGAGGAUUCGUCUCCCCUCGGCUGGAGAUUGACAGGACGAGAAAAAGGCCGGCUGAUUGGCUUCAUGGGCGAAUAUCUCCAAACUUUCUGCAUUUUCAUCAAGAAACCCGACUCCCGUUUGCUCAAGACACGUAAGGAAUAGCAGUGAAACCAAAGAACAGCGGAGCCAGAGGGCAAACUCCUCACAGAUUUAGAUGGCGAGUAGUGGGCUGCCACAUCAGAGCCACUGCUUUGUGCUGACUGGGAGGUUCUGGUAGAGCUGCUGCACGGGCUUAUCUGAAGGCUGUUUUCACGUUGCUUCCUUUGUGAUCUAUCGGCCCGAAUACAGACGCCUGAGUUGCUGCUCACACCUCAGAUGCAGACAACCCAUGGCGAGG